CAGCCGCCACGGGAACACGAAGGGGGCUAGCGUUGCUCGGAAUGACUGGGCGUAAAGGGCGCGUAGGCGGCGAUCAAAGUCAGGCGUGAAGUUCCUGGGCUCAACCUGGGGGCUGCGCUUGAUACUUGGUUGCUUGAGUGGGGAAGAGGGUCGUGGAAUUCCCAGUGUAGAGGUGAAAUUCGUAGAUAUUGGGAAGAACACCGGUGGCGAAGGCGGCGAGCUGGUCCAUUACUGACGCUGAGGCGCGAAAGCGUGGGGAGCAAACAGGAUUAGAUACCCGCGUAGUCCCUGUCUCUUAUAA
rnacentral:rRNA from 1 species